GAGAGUCCUUGUGGUUCUUGAUGAUUUGUUUUUGCCCUACUGUCUUGGGGGUGAUUUGUUAUUUGUAUGGGAAGAGCUACUGUAAGUUCUAUAGGUCUUCUACAGAAUUAUUAUGAGGACUGGAACCAAGUCCAGGGAGCUGAUGGGCACUGCCCUGACGCCCCUCCUGAUGGCCACUUGGCUUCCGGAUUSUCGGCGUUCCGGUCGUUGAGCAGCRUGUGCGGAGYCAACGGAUCCACCCUCAAGGUGGACGCU